rnacentral:rRNA from 1 species
GAUGAACGCUGGCGGCGUGCUUAACACAUGCAAGUCGAACGAUGAAGCCCAGCUUGCUGGGUGGAUUAGUGGCGAACGGGUGAGUAACACGUGAGUAACCUGCCCUUAACUCUGGGAUAAGCCUGGGAAACUGGGUCUAAUACCGGAUAGGAGCGUCCACCGCAUGGUGGGUGUUGGAAAGAUUUAUCGGUUUUGGAUGGACUCGCGGCCUAUCAGCUUGUUGGUGAGGUAAUGGCUCACCAAGGCGACGACGGGUAGCCGGCCUGAGAGGGUGACCGGCCAAACGGGGAUGGAGAACGGGCCCAGACCCCGAGGGGGGGCAGGGGUGGGGAAUUUGGCACAAGGGGGGAAAGCCGGAUGGGGGGGCGCCGGGGGGGGGAGGACGGCCUUCGGGUUGAAAACCCUUUUCAGUGGGGAAGAAGGGAAAGGGGCGGUACCGGCAAAAGAAGCCCCGGCAAACUAGGG